rnacentral:rRNA from 1 species
AUACAGAGGGUGCAAGCGUUAAUCGGAAUUACUGGGCUUAAAGCGCGCGUAGGCGGCUUGGUCAGUCGGAUGUGAAAGCCCCGGGCUUAACCUGGGAAUUGCAUUCGAUACUGCCGAACUAGAGUAUGGUAGAGGGAAGUGGAAUUUCCGGUGUAGCGGUGAAAUGCGUAGAUAUCGGAAGGAACACCAGUGGCGAAGGCGACUUCCUGGGCCAAUACUGACGCUGAGGUACGAAAGCGUGGGGAGCGAACGGGAUUAGAAACCCUAGUAGUCC